CCUCCAACCCCCCCUCACGAGAAUCUAGAAAGGAGGGACUGCAUUUAUCCGGAUAAUCUUUUUCGCAAACUCCACCGCGGAAAAGAGGCGAACCAAAAUCAGAUUUAUUAAACUCCUUUCUUUCUUUCUUUCUUUUUUUAAGGAUCAGAUGAUGAUAGCUUGUAUUCACUACACGCUCAGAUCUUUAGCCAGCCAGAAUGAAAGGAGACGAUGGCAGUAGCUUUACUAGUUGGGGUGGGGGACAGCGUAUCGGGAUCGGACCGUACCCUACAUUUAACACCGGAAAUGGUUGGUCCGGCGGAUUACAUACAGGGUAACCGCCGAAUUAAUCCUGGGCCGCGAGACGAGAUGCCCGAGGUCGCCAUCCCAUGAUUCCAGGCAUGCAACAAAGCUCAUGGAAUGGAACAACAACAAGAUUCACACACAGCAAAACUAGAGCAGAACCGAAGCGAUAAGGAAACGUCGAAAAGAUUCACAUGGCGAAACAAAAGCAAAACCCAAGUGAUAAAGGAAACAUCAAGAAACCAAGAGGAGGAGAGGAGAGGACAAGCUGCCGGUGCCAGGCAACCGUCGCUCGGAAACCCCAGGCAGGCGGACACACACACACACACACACACAAAAAGAAGCAAAACGCGGCACAGCAUCGCAAGAAGAAACAGCGCAGAGCCGCCGUUGCAGUUGCAAGAUAAGACACGAAAAACCGGAGCUUUUCCGCACACGAUCCUCCAAGAGCUGGAAAACACACGGGGGGUCGUCGGGAGCGCACGGGGGCUUACCUCCGAUCUGC
rnacentral:misc_RNA from 1 species